CUCUCUCUCUCUCUCUCUCUCUCUUGUUUUCUAUUAUUAUUAUUAUUAUGUUAUUGUUUUCAUUUCCUUUAGUUUUUUUUUAGUUUCCCAUAAAUAGCAACGUUUUCUUCAACGGGUCAGAUGCGGAAAUUCUGUCCACCUUUCUUUAUAUUAUUUUACGUAACCUAAUCUUACCUUACUCAAUUUCACCUUCUUUUCCCUUAUUUUUUUUAGCUUCCCGUAAUUAGUAACGUUUUCUUCAGUGGGUUGGACUCGGAAAUUCUGUAGUUUUCUUAAGUUUCCCGUAAAUAGCAACGUUUUCUUCAGUGGGUCAGACUCGGAAAUUCUGUAGUUUUCUUAAGUUUCCCGUAAAUAGCAACGUUUUCUUUGAUGGGUCGGACUCGGAAAUUCUGUACUUUUCUUUAGUUUCCCGUAAAUAGCAACGUUUUCUUCAGUUUCCCGUAAAUAGCAACGUUUUCUUCAGUGGGUCGGACUUGGAAAUUCUGUAGUUUUCUUAAGUUUCCCGUAAAUAGCAACGUUUUCUGUGAUGGGUCGGACUCGGAAAUUCUGGUCGCAUUACUUCACAUUUUUUCACCUAAUCUAAUCUUACCUUAAUUUACCUUAAUCAACCACAAGCUAUUUAUUUAUGUAUUAUUUUAGGUUUAUUUCGACUAGUAAUAUCUUUUCAGUAUCUCAUAAUAUUAACGUCUCAUUAUUAUUAUUAUUAUUAUUACUGUAAGUCUCAUUCUUUCACUAACUUCAAAUACAUACGUCCUGACUCCUUAUAUUAUCUAUACUAGUGCAAGAUGUCUGUUUUUAAUUAUUAUUCUGCUAUAGUCUUGAUGUAUGUGUAUGUCUGACUUAUCAUUUAUUUUUAGUAGCGUAAGAUGUCUGUCUGUUUGUAUAUUCCUCCUAUGUGUCUGUCCCCUCGCCCCCCCUCUUUGUCCUGUAGAGAUAGCCCGCACCUCUGUUACUGUAGUUAGAUAGCUAGGCGGAUCGCACAUCGACGCAACCAAGGGCAUGAAAAUGAUCGCACGCAACUGGUCGGUUGUCUUGAGGUCCCCAUGUUGGAGGUUUCAUGCAGUUGGUUGGGCCGGUGUGCAAGCUUGGUAUUAAAAGACACUAUUGCUUCUCACAUUAACAACUUCUCAAGGUUAAAGAUGGGGUCAGUCGAGUUCUAAUGAGAGUUUCCUUAGGUUCACGGUACAGAGGAAGGGUCAAACUUACACCAGGGUCAUAAAACUACUCCUGGAAAUGCCCACAACUCCUACGAAAGCCUGGUCAAAUGUGUGUUUCUUAGGUUCAUGGUACAGAGGAAGGGUCAAACUAACACCAGGGUCAUAAAACUACUCCUGGAAAUGCCCACGACUCCUACGAAAGCCUGGUCAAAUGUGUGUUUCUUAGGUUCAUGGUACAGAGGAAGGGUCAAACUAACACCAGGGUCAUAAAACUACUCCUGGAAAUGCCCACGACUCCUACGAAAGCCUUGUCAAAUAUGUGUUUCUUAGGUUCACGGUACAGAGGAAGGGUCAAACUAACACCAGGGUCAUAAAACUACUCCUGGAAAUGCCCACGACUCCUACGAAAGCCUGGUCAAAUGUGUGUUUCUUAGGUUCACGGUACAGAGGAAGGGUCAAACUAACACCAGGGUCAUAAAACUACUCCUGGAAAUGCCCACGACUCCUACGAAAGCCUGGUCAAAUGUGUGUUUCUUAGGUUCACGGUACAGAGGAAGGGUC